CAGAUCUAUAGAUAACAAGUACAAUACAAAUAUUAUUAUGAAACAAAGUACAUUGACUCAAAGGAAGAAGGCAGAAUAUUUUCUGGCUAGCCAAAGGAAAAUACGAGCCAUCCAGCCAAACAUUUUCCAGAUCCAGGGGAGUAAAGCCAGGGUCCAGGAUUGACUAACUGGGUUGUGCACCAUAUGCUAUGCCUGUGGUCUUCUAGCAAGUGAGCCCUGAUCCCCUUCUGUCAAGGAGUGGUUUCUCUGGAGCAAAGUCAUUGCCAGGAGUCUACAUGAUCCACCUUCUGCCACUUCUUGAGCCUGUCUUAACUCCUUCUCUACCUUAAUGGUGGUUGGGGUCUAGACACCUUCUCGUAGGCCACACUUCCGGAGAGACCUGGUGGGAUUCUACUCUGUGGAAGAUCAUCCCAAUUGGGAUGGGAGGCUCUACAAGCCAUUUUUCCUCAUGGAGGUCUUGACCUGAGAAGCUCAACCUGGAUAACCACAACCAGAGGGGAUAAAAUGGAACACCUAGGAGAUUUCAGUAAACAGUAGAACCAUUCCAACUCAAUCUGUGCUAAAAUGUUUGGAAUGUGAGAGCCACCGAUGAUGCCUGUUGUCUGUGUGUCUGCCUGAAUCCUUUCUUUUCUCUGAGGAAAGCAGAGCCUGGGAACUAGGCCAAAUGCUUGCCACUUACCUUAAAUUGAUCAGCCACUUUGAGAUUAAAAUCACUGAAAACUGCAACAGCAUGAAAACAAAGCUCCCUUCAUAUUAAAUGCAACAUUGGAUUUGCUGUGAUCUUUUUUCCAUUUUACCCAGUGUCCACUUUUUCCAUUUCUGC